UUCAGGUAAAUUUCUAAACAUUUAUUUUUAUUUCUGUUGCAAAGGUUCUAUUUAUACACAUUACGAAAUGAAUAAGAUUAUUACUUUGUGAAAUAGAGGAGACGAAAAAAAACAAACCAUGCUAGAACGGAAAAUGUCAUUUCCGAGGUAUACAAAUAAAUGUCAAUUGUGUAUCGAUCACAGUGGAGCCACGUAUUGGUGUAAAACAUGCAGGAAGGCUAUAUGUAACUAUUGUAAACUUUAUCAUGAGAAAGUGUGGGUAGUGAGGGACCAUAUUGUUCAUCGGCUGCCACAGACAAAAUAAACGAUAAAGGAUUCAUUGCAAGAAUAAACAGAUCCUCUUUUUGUAUUAGUAUAUCUGGUGUAAGCACAACUAUUAUAUUUUCUAGGUAUUAAAUGUUCAAAAUA